GACUGAAUGGCGAACAGUGCAGAUCAUUGAUUUUCACUGGUCGCAAAGGUAGGAUCUAUUGUGUCAAGCACGAUAAGGGUUAAUAUGAAAACUGCACACACCUCCUAUAUUUAUUUCCAACUUUAUUUGUAUAUUACGACAACAAAUGAUAGAUUGCAUAUAGGCUAAUCAGGCUGAGUUUUGACCUUGAACAAUUUGCAAAAGAAAAUAAAAUUACACUGUGCGAAAGAACAUGAUCACAAUAACUUUCUACCAAAAGUUGCAUAAAAUCGACCUUGCAAUUUUAACAAAAACAAACUUGAAAAUUCUGCCAAACAUGAGAUUUGACGAUGGCCAAACGCGGACACCAUACUAGCGUGUUUCAGUAAGCGCGUGGGAAAUAUGACGUCAUACGAUAACUUCCGCACCGCCAUAUUUUCAAUUCCAAAGAUGUAAACAAAGUUCCGCAGGCAGUUUGAUGCUUUAAACAGAGACAUUUUAAGAUGUAAGUUGUUUUUUUGAAAUUAAAAACUUGUUUAUGUAAAUAAAAAAGAGCUGCAUAGAUAUUGACAGCUGCCUAUAAUGCAUGUAUCGAUUUAAAACCAUCUAGGGGUCAACGGGUAAGAUAUAUUCACAUGGUGUCAUUGCAAUUUGUAUAUUUUUUUUAAAGAAAAUGAUAAUAUAUAAAAGUUUAGAACGGUCAAUGUUGAUAUUUUAACUUGAAAUUAUUAGAAAAGAGCCGAAAUUUGAAAAAAAAAAUGCAUUCUUUUAACAAGAGUUUUGUUAGAAAAAUAAAUGUACGGAAGCGGAUAAGGGCCGUUUUACAGUUGAAACAAAUUUAUAAUUUAUUGAAUCAAGUGCCACGCGGAUCAAAUUAACUUGAUUUCCUGCAUGUUUUCGACAAGGUAUUUGUAUAAAUAAUAUUUUUGUGAGUUUGUACUUACUGAUUUGAUUUCAACUUACUGUUUUUUUUCUCAUUUAACAUGGAAACUUGAGCCGGUUGUGUCUCGUCAGUGUCUGGUGCCCAUUAACUGUAUCUUAUAAUGACUGGUUAGCGCUUGCAGAUGAAUUUAGACACGCUGAUCCUGUGUGACAGAUAUGAUACAGACGGGGAAGAUUGUGGUACUUCUUAUAAUGAAAUUGUUCGAACACGUCAAUUGAAAAGAUAGGCGGUACACAUUUUAUUAAAUCUAGUUAUGCAUGCUGACUCUGUGUGACUGACAUGCUGAAGUCGGAAAAUCAAACGAGUGUGUUUGAGGACAUUGCUUACCAUAUGUCCCUCUGAACGAUUGAACAAUGCUAUAGAGUAAACUAGUAAUUGAUAAAGAACUAUGGAAGAGUGUCCUAUUUGCAAAGGGCAAUUUGAAGAUGGACAACCAGUUGUAUGUCUCCGUAAGAAGGGGAGCGACGGAAUCAAUAAUGCUACCAUAGCAAGAGGAACUAACAUUUUUAUAUGUAAAGGACAAUAUGUACACGUGCAGUGUCGCCAUGACUAUAUUCAUAUUCGAAACUCUUUGACAAAGAGUGAUAUGAAUAAUAAUCCUGUUACAUCUAGGUCUUUAUGUUCAGAAGAUUCAUUUGAUUUUAAAACAAAAUGUCUUUUUUGUACAAAAAAAUGCUAAAGUAAGUGUGAACAAACGUGGGUAUGAUGUCUUUCCUGUUCGUAGUUUCGAAUUUCAGAAAACUGUACCUAAAUUAUAUAAUGAAAGAAAAGACGAGUGGGCAGUCAACAAAUUAAGCAGACUUUCCCUUGCGAUAGACCUUCCAGCGGCUAAAGCAGUUUACCAUCAGAAGUGCAAUGUCACCUUCAGGACAGGUAGAUAUUUCCCAUGUCAAAACUACUUGAAACAUUUCUUUUGCAUGUACUUCAAGGUUAGGCCCCUUUUAGGGCUAGCCUGAUUAGCCUAAUAGUAAAUAUUUGAUAUAGGCACUGGCGUUGAAUAUAUUUUGAAUUCCCUCAACAAUUUGCCUGAAAAUGAUUUUGGCAGAAUUAAUCAAUUGGUACGGUAACCACUUUUUUGUAUUGACAUUCCCUUUCUCUAGAACUAAAACUG